CUCCCUUCGGGGCCGAUUCACAGGUGGUGCAUGGUCGUCGUCAGCUCGUGUCGUGAGAUGUUGGGUUAAGUCCCGCAACGAGCGCAACCCUCGCCUUGUGUUGCCAGCACGUUAUGGUGGGAACUCACAAGGGACCGCCGGGGUUAACUCGGAGGAAGGUGGGGAUGACGUCAGAUCAUCAUGCCCCUUAUGUCUAGGGCUUCACACAUGCUACAAUGGCCGGUACAG
rnacentral:rRNA from 1 species